GCGCAGGAAAAGAAACCAACAGGGAUUGCCCUAGUAACGGCGAGUGAAGCGGCAACAGCUCAAAUUUGAAAUCUGGCUCUUUCAGGGUCCGAGUUGUAAUUUGCAGAGGGUGCUUUGGCAAAGGUUGUGGUCUAAGUUCCUUGGAACAGGACGUCACAGAGGGUGAGAAUCCCGUACGUGGCCGCCAACCCGCGCUAUGUAAAGCCCCCUCGACGAGUCGAGUUGUUUGGGAAUGCAGCUCUAAAUGGGAGGUAAAUUUCUUCUAAAGCUAAAUAUUGGCCAGAGACCGAUAGCGCACAAGUAGAGUGAUCGAAAGAUGAAAAGCACUUUGGAAAGAGAGUCAAAAAGCACGUGAAAUUGUUGAAAGGGAAGCGCUUGCAGCCAGACUUGCCUGUAGUUGCUCAUCCGGGCUCUUGCCUGGUGCACUCUUCUAUAGGCAGGCCAGCAUCAGUCUUGGCGGUCGGAUAAAUGCGUGCUAAACGUACCUCUCUUCGGGGAGGACUUAUAGGGCACGCGGCAUACGACCAGCCGGGACUGAGGUCCGCGCAUCUGCUAGGAUGCUGGCGUAAUGGCUGUAAGCGGCCCGUCUUGAAACACGGACCAAGGAGUCUAACAUCUAUGCGAGUGUUUGGGUGGCAAGCCCGAGCGCGUCAUGUAAGGGAACGGAGGUGGGAACCGCUCGGUUUGAGGUGAAUACCGAGUCGGAUCCUUUCGGAUGGAUUUGAAUUCGAAGGCCUGCAGGGUGCGAGCUCGACUUUGACACUCGGGUAAAUUUCAUGCUGGGAAAAGUAAACCCCUGGCAAAAUU
rnacentral:rRNA from 1 species